rnacentral:rRNA from 1 species
UACGGAGGGGGCUAGCGUUAUUCGGAAUUAUUGGGCGUAAAGGGCGCGUAGGCGGCUUGAUAAGUCAAAGGUGAAAUCCCUCGGCUCAACUGAGGAACUGCCUUUGAAACUAUCGAGCUUGAGGCCGGGAGGGGGUAGCGGAAUUCCCAGUGUAGCGGUGAAAUGCGUAGAUACUGGGAGGAACACCGGUGGCGAAGGCGGCUACCUGGACCGGUUCUGACGCUGAGGCGCGAAAGCGUGGGUAGCAAACAGG